GAUGAACGCUGGCGGCGUGCUUAACACAUGCAAGUCGAGCGAUGAAGUUUCUUCGGAAAUGGAUUAGCGGCGAACGGGUGAGGAACACGUGAAGAAUCUGCCCUCCACUUUGGGAUAACACCGGGAAACCGGUGCUAAUACCGAAUAUUGAAACAUAAGUGGCAUCACUGAGUUUUGAAAGAAUUUCGGUGGAGGAUGACUUCGCGGCCUAUCAGCUAGUUGGUGAGGUAAUGGCUCACCAAGGCAACGACGGGUAGCCGGCCUGAGAGGGCGACCGGCCACACUGGGACUGAGACACGGCCCAGACUCCUACGGGAGGCAGCAGUGGGGAAUAUUGGGCAAUGGAGGGAACUCUGACCCAGCGACGCCGCGUGCGGGAUGAAGGCCUUCGGGUUGUAAACCGCUUUCAGCAAGGAAGAAGCGAAAGUGACGGUACUUGCAGAAGAAGCACCGGCUAACUAUGUGCCAGCAGCCGCGGUAAUACAUAGGGGUGCAAGCGUUGUCCGGAAUUAUUGGGCGUAAAGAGCUCGUAGGUGGUUCGUCACGUCGGAUGUGAAAAUCUGGGGCUUAACCCCAGACCUGCAUUCGAUACGGGCGAGCUAGAGUGUGGUAGGGGAGACUGGAAUUCCUGGUGUAGCGGUGGAAUGCGCAGAUAUCAGGAGGAACACCAAUGGCGAAGGCAGGUCUCUGGGCCAUUACUGACACUGAGGAGCGAAAGCGUGGGGAGCGAACAGGAUUAGAUACCCUGGUAGUCCACGCCGUAAACGGUGGGCACUAGUUGUGGGAACCUUCCACGGUUUCUGCGACGCAGCUAACGCAUUAAGUGCCCCGCCUGGGGAGUACGAUCGCAAGAUUAAAACUCAAAGGAAUUGACGGGGCCCCGCACAAGCAGCGGAGCAUGCGGCUUAAUUCGACGCAACGCGAAGAACCUUACCAAGGCUUGACAUAUACAGGAAUAUGGCAGAGAUGUCAUAGCCGCAAGGUCUGUAUACAGGUGGUGCAUGGUUGUCGUCAGCUCGUGUCGUGAGAUGUUGGGUUAAGUCCCGCAACGAGCGCAACCC
rnacentral:rRNA from 1 species